AGGCAGCAGUGGGGAAUAUUGGGCAAUGGGCGAAAGCCUGACCCAGCAACGCCGCGUGAACGAAGAAGGCCUUCGGGUUGUAAACUUCUUUUACCAGGGACGAAGGAUGUGACGGUACCUGGAGAAAAAGCAACGGCUAACUAC
rnacentral:rRNA from 1 species